rnacentral:hammerhead_ribozyme from 1 species
AUCCAGCUGACGAGUCGCAAACAGGACGAAACGCGCGUCGUGGGU